GGCGACCGCUUUUGGAGUUCGAUUAAGCCAUGCGAGUCGAGAGCCUUAGGGGCUCGGCAUACUGCUCAGUAACACGUGGAUAACCUGCCCUAUUGUCUGGAAUAACCUCGGGAAACUGAGAACAAGGCCGGAUAGCCUACAAUGCCUGGAACGGUUUGUGGGUGAAGAUAGGAUGGGUCUGCGGCGUAUCAGGUCGUAGGGGGUGUAAUGGACCUCCUAGCCAUCGACGCGUACGGGUGUUGGGAGACAUAGCCCGGAGAUGGAUUCUGAGACACGAAUCCAGACCCUACGGGGUGCAGCAGGCGCGAAAACUUCACACUGCAGGAAACUGUGAUGAGGGAACUCCAAGUGCAUGCACUAUGUGUAUGCUUUUCUUAACUAUUAAUCGGUUUUGGAAUAAGGGCUGGGAAAGACCGGUGCCAGCCGCCGCGGUAAUACCGGCAGCUCAAGUGGUCGUCGCUUUUAUUGGGCCUAAAACGUCCGUAGCCUGUUUGGUAAAUCUGUGGGUAAAUCAACCAGCUUAACUGGUUGAAUUCUGCAGAGACUGCCAGACUAGGGACCGGGAGAGGUGUGGGGUACUCUAGGGGUAGGGGUAAAAUCCUGUCAUCCUUAGAGGACCACCAGUUGCGAAGGCGCCACACUGGAACGGAUCCGACGGUCAGGGACGAAGCCUAGGGGCACGAACCGGAUUAGAUACCCGGGUAGUCCUAGGUGUAAACGCUGUGAACUUGGUGUCGGGGAUCCGUAAUGGGUUCUCGGUGCCGGAGUGAAGAUGUUAAGUUCACUGCCUGGGGAGUACGGUCGCAAGGCUGAAACUUAAAGGAGUUGGCGGGGGAGCACUGCAACGGGAGGAGCGUGCGGUUU
rnacentral:rRNA from 1 species